UACGUAGGGUGCAAGCGUUGUCCGGAAUUAUUGGGCGUAAAGAGCUCGUAGGCGGUCUGUCGCGUCGGCUGUGAAAACUCGGGGCUCAACUCCGAGCUUGCAGUCGAUACGGGCAGGCUAGAGUUCGGCAGGGGAGACUGGAAUUCCUGGUGUAGCGGCGAAAUGCGCAGAUAUCAGGAGGAACACCGAUGGCGAAGGCAGAUCUCUGGGCCGUAACUGACGCUGAGGAGCGAAAGCGUGGGGAGCGAACAGG
rnacentral:rRNA from 1 species